GAGGAGCUAAGCACAGAAGGGUGCGGUUUGGAAGGUGUUCUCCUCUUAGAUGAGCUAAGACUACUGAGUUCUUAUGAGAAGAAUGGCUCUUAAGAAAUUGAGGGUGAUACCAAAGGAAGGUUACUUAUUACUUUUGGACUUUGAUGAUGAGGACGAUGACAUAAAAGUUUCAGAGGAGGCUCUUUCGGAAGUAUAGAGCCCAGCAUUUGAUAAAAAUGAGAAUAUAUCGCCUCAAGCAGAAGCAGAUGAAGAUAUGGGAGAUGAAGUAGACAGUAUGUUGGAUAAAUCUGAAGACAUGAAGUAGGCAGUAUGUUGGAUAAAUCUGGAGAUGACAUUUAUAAGACGCUUCACAUAAAGAGAAAAUGGAUGGAAACUUAUGUCAAAGAAUCUUUCAAAGGCAGCAACCAGAAAUUAGAAAGAUUUUGCAAAACGAACGAACGAGAGAGGAAGAACAUCAACAACAAAUUUUGUGAGCAGUAUAUAACUACAUUUCAGAAGUCUGAUAUGGAUGUACAGAAAUUCAAUGAAGAAAAAGAAAAAUCAGUGAAUAGUUGUCAAAAAGAACAACAAGCAUUGAAACUGUCCAAAUGUAGUCAGAACCAGACCCUGGAAGCAGUUAAAGAAAUGCAUGAGAAGUCCAUGGAGGUUUUGAUGAACUUGGGGACCAAGAACUAAGAUAUGCUUUUUGGUGUAGAUGGUGAACUGAGAAAAAAAAAUGUCUAUGUUUGAAAGAGCCAUCAUGGAGAAUAAUCUGAA